GAAAUUUGAUCAAAUUUCAAAAAGAAAACGCAUCAAAAAGAAUGCAUCAUCAAUUGAUGAUGCGUUCUUUUCACUUGAUUAGAAACUUAAGUAGUAGCUAAAUAGGACGGUUCAUUUUGUGAAAAUAUAACUGCUUUAAAUGGUUUAAAAAUUUUGGUUUUGUUCUUUCCAUCUUUUUUAUUUGUUUUCAAAAUUAAAAAAUUACUUAUUCACAUCAUUGUUCUUAUUCUAAAAAUAAACUUGAAAAUUUUUAAAAUUUUUAUAAAUUAAAAAUUGAUAAUUUAAAUUUUAUUAAAGGAUUCUCUGGAUUGUUUAUCUGUAACUGUAAGUUUGAUUACAGGUUAUAAUCUAUCUAUUCAAUACACUAUUGUGAUUACAAAUCGGUCUUCUUUAAACUGUUUCUUUCAAAGCAAAAAACGUUCAACUUCAAAAGUGAACAAAAAUGGAAAUGUACACCAUUUGCUUGGAGGAAAAUAUUUCAAUCCGGAUGUUAAUGUGCUUGAAGAAACUAAAACUGCCCUCAUACUAACAUUGUGUCUGAAUGUGACUUUGCUUCCUAUGACCGCAGGUAAAAAAUAUGAAGGUACUUUGCUUCCUAUAUAUGAAAAUAUAAAGACUUUGCUUCCUAUGACCGCAGGUAAAAAACAUGACAACAGUAGCUGCAGCUGGUGUCAUCAUGUUUAAUAACAACAAAACAGCUGAUUAGUUAGAUGUAAAAUCAUAGGAAGAAAUUGAAAGGCUAGUUAUACUAGCAAAAUAGAAAAGAGUAUAUGAGAAAGUACAAAGAAAAGAAAGCAAAUAUAUUGCGGUACAAAUUUGAUGAUGGAUAAGCUUAACCUAGAAAAGAAAAGAAAGGAAUAAAAGGCAAGCAAAGAAAGAGAGUUUUUAACAACAGAAAAUAGACUGAAAACUACUAAAAAUGAAGUUGUAAUAAAGUUGCAAAGACAAAUUAAAUUUCAAAAAAAAGUAUUACAGCAAAAAUUUCCAGAAAAGUGGUUACAAUUAGGCGAAAAAGGCCAAGGUGAAAAAUAUAAAAAAUUUAGAGGCAUUAGAGGCAUUAAAAACCAACCUGCUAUCAAUUUUUAAAUUUUUAAGACGCUCCAGUACAAUAAGCAAUAACAAUAAAAUUUUCAGUAAUCAGACAGAAAAAAGAGAGAUGUUGAUAGUAAAAAAAAUUUAGAUUAGAGAGUGACAAUAGAAAUUUAAAAUAAUAGGAACAGGUGCAUCAAAGGAAGGGCCUUCCAAAGUUUUUAGGAAAAAGAAUUAAACAUAAGACAGUAAAUAAAGAAGGCAAAGAUAAAUGGUAUUCAGGGCUAUUAGUAAGUGUUUUAGAUAAAAAUGAAUUUGAUGAGGAAUGUGAGCUUGAGGUAAUUUAUUAUGGAUUUGAAGAUGAAUAUGAUAUUUAGUUGGUCAAAGACUGGAGGAUGAAAUGUGUUGUGAUUAAAGGAAAAGCUGAUGGGUUUGUGGAGAGCGAAGUUAGAAAAAAGCAAAAAUUUUGGUAAUGCCAUUUUUGAUGCAAUUUUCAAUUCAAUUUCAAUUUAAUAUAUUUGUGUUUUUGUUCUGUUUAGUCAUCUGGAGUGGUGUUGGCACACCUACAAUUCUUUAUAUGUGUACUUGUCUUCUGUUGGAACUCUGCAGUGGUGUUGAAAUACCGAUGGUAAGCUCAAGUGUAAAGUAAUUAUUUUUGGUAACUUCUUUUUUGCAGAUUUGUGAUAACUUCUUUCAUACAGAUUUGUGACUACAUGCAUAUGGGAAGUAGUUCGUAUUAAUUGCAGGACCAUUUGCUCAAACAUCAAUAUGGAACAAAUAUGUCAUGAGCUGCAUCAGUUUUUUUUCCAAUCGGCCUGUUGCCUAAGCAUUAACAAGCAAGGAAGUUGUAAUGGUUACAAAAGCAAUUAUAAAUUUGGAAACAACCUUUGCGUUUUUUUCUGUAAUAAGUACAGAUAAUGGAACUGAAUUAUGAGAAGACUGUAUUGUCAGUAAUUUGUUGAAUCAGGAAAGCAACUCUUCUCAAUCCAUAAAAACUUUGCAAACAAGUUUGAAAAAUCAGAUUGAAGUAUUGGCACCAGUUGGGUUACUUUUACUUAAAGAGCUACCAAAUCAAACUGACCUAAAAUGAAGGCAGCCUGAGAUAAUCAAACCGAGUGAUAAAACAAUUCAUCAUAUCAACCCUUUGGGUGAAUUUGAAAUGAGUGUACUUAAAGUUCUUAAUGUUCAACAAAAUAUGUCAAAUAAAAUAAUAUACAUUAAACGUCCAAUAUAGAUUAAAAAGGAAAUUCGAAUAUCUAGAAGAUACUACUCUAAUGAUAAAUUUACAAAAAUUGUUGACGAAAUAACCAUAAAAUAAACCAAUGGAAUACUUAUAAAUUGCGAAGAAUUAAUAGCAAGUUCUCUGAAUAUGGAAUAGCGUUCCGUGGACCAAGACUAUAGAACACUUCAAAAAGCAAAAAGUUUAAAUACGUUAAAAUCUUUAAACUUCUUUAAGUUUCUAAUUAAAAAAAAUGUUAGAUUUGAUAAAUAUGUGUUUAUGUUGUGUUCAUAAUAUAUUCUACUUAAAGA